CGGGGGAGGAGAGAGGAGGCAAGGAAAAGGAAUUGUUUCCAAUCCUCGCAUUCAUCAACAUUAGCAGCAAUUGUAGCUGUAACGGUAAUGAUGUGUAUGACGAUACCAAGGCAGGACUUGUGUCCUUAGGAUAAUAACGACAGAUGUAUAACCCUCAAGCCAAAUUGUCUACAGAUGCAACCCAGCACAGAUGUGGUAAGAUACGAUACACAUCACUCAUCACUUGCCUGUCAACUUUUUUCGAAAUCUUUUUUUGUCUCACAUUUAAUCCCUCAUGGCAAGCCACUUGCACAAACGUAAGUUCAACAUCUAGUUUCGAUUUGCUUGAGUUGUCAACUAACGUGAAUUGAACGUGAAAUCAACGGGAGAAAAUAAAUUCCCUUACGUUGUUGGCGUUUUGCAAACCUUGAAAUGACGUGGAAACCACGUUGAUUCAUCCAGUUGUUGGCCAGUGGGAAGAUUUUUUUUUUUUAAUCGUUUGUCUUUUUGGGGUGGGACAUUGUAAAAGAGGGCCAGAGAGAGAGAGAGAGAAAGAAAAAGACAGAGAGAAUAGUCCAGAUGUGAGAUGUGACGCGCUGCCGGACGAGCCAGACACGACGAUCCAGUGUUAUUGAUGAAGAAUAGAAAAUGUUCUACCAUCGAGGGAAAGUCUGCGCUAUUGAUGGGCUUUCUAAUUUAUAACGGGUGUAUGUGUGUGUCUGGUUAACCGUCAGAGGUGAAAGAUCAGAGGUCACAGCAGGUCGGAGGCAAGAGGUCAGGGGUCAUGUCUACCGUGGCAUUCCAGAACCUUCCUCUCAACAUUUAUAUGGUCAUCUUCGGGACCGGAGUCUUCGUUUUCGUCCUGAGCCUCAUCUUCUGCUGCUACUUCAUCAGUGAAGCCGCUCAACAACUACACCACACCAGUCACCCAACAGACUCCCAUUCAGAGCGACACACAGAGGCAGCCAGGGUCAAAGCCCUGCUCAAGGGCACAUCGACAGAUCUCCCACAAGGCCAAAAACGGGGACCCGAACCCUCCAAGAUCCCCCACAGUUCCC
ensembl:lncRNA